rnacentral:rRNA from 1 species
UACGAAGGGGGCUAGCGUUGUUCGGAAUUACUGGGCGUAAAGGGCGCGUAGGCGGUGUGUCAAGUCAGGCGUGAAAGCCCCGGGCUCAACCUGGGAACCGCGCUUGAGACUGGCACGCUAGAGUUCGGGAGAGGAUGGUGGAAUUCCCAGUGUAGAGGUGAAAUUCGUAGAUAUUGGGAAGAACACCGAUGGCGAAGGCAGCCAUCUGGACCGACACUGACGCUGAGGCGCGGAAAGCGUGGGGAGCGAACAGG